rnacentral:rRNA from 1 species
GACAGAGGGGGCAAGCGUUGUCCGGAUUUACUGGGCGUACAGCGCGCGCAGGCGGUGCCGUAUGUGCCAUAUGACAUCUGGGGGCUCAACCUCCAGGGGUUGUGGUACACAGCGGCGCUGGAGGGAAGGAGAGGGUAGUGGAAUUCCCGGUGGAGCGGUGAAAUGCGUAGAGAUCGGGAGGAACACCAGUGGUGCAGACGGCUACCUGGCCUUAACCUGACGCUGAGGCGCGAUAGCGUGGGGAGCAAACGGG